rnacentral:rRNA from 1 species
CAGCCGCCGCGGGAAUACGGAGGGUGCAAGCGUUAAUCGGAAUUACUGGGCGUAAAGCGCACGCAGGCGGUCUGUCAAGUCAGAUGUGAAAUCCCCGGGCUUAACCUGGGAACUGCAUUUGAAACUGGCAGGCUAGAGUCUUGUAGAGGGGGGUAGAAUUCCAGGUGUAGCGGUGAAAUGCGUAGAGAUCUGGAGGAAUACCGGUGGCGAAGGCGGCCCCCUGGACAAAGACUGACGCUCAGGUGCGAAAGCGUGGGGAGCAAACAGGAUUAGAGACCCGCGUAGUCCCUGUCUCUUAUAA